CCUGAACGCUGGCGGCGUGGCUAAGACAUGCAAGUCGCACGGUCCCGAGCAAUCGGGACAGUGGCGAACGGGUGAGUAAUGAAUCGCUAAUGUGCCCCGGACUCUGAGAUAGCCAGUCGAAAGAUUGGGUAAUAUCAGAUGAUAUAACCGAACCGCAUGGUUUGGUUCUCAAAGGUCCGCCGGUCUGGGAGCAGGCGAUUUCGUAUCAGCUUGUUGGUGAGGAACGGCUCACCAAGGCGACGACGCGUAGCCGGACUGAGAGGUUGGCCGGCCACAUUGGGACUGAGACACUGCCCAGACUCCUACGGGGGGCUGCAGUAACGAAUCUUCCGCAAUGCACGAAAGUGUGACGGAGCGACGCCGCGUGUAGGACGAA
rnacentral:rRNA from 1 species